AUUGAACGCUGGCGGCAGGCCUAACACAUGCAAGUCGAGCGGACGAAGGGAGCUUGCUCCUGGAUUCAGCGGCGGACGGGUGAGUAAUGCCUAGGAAUCUGCCUGGUAGUGGGGGAUAACGUCCGGUAACGGGCGCUAAUACCGCAUACGUCCUGAGGUAGAAAGUGAGGGUUCUUCGGACCUCACGCUAUUAGAUGAGCCUAGGUCGGAUUAGCUAGUUGGUGUGGUAAAGGCCUACCAAGGCGACGAUCCGUAACUGGUCUGAGAGGAUGAUCAGUCACACUGGAACUGAGACACGGUCCAGACUCCUACGGGAGGCAGCAGUGGGGAAUAUUGGACAAUGGGCGAAAGCCUGAUCCAGCCAUGCCGCGUGUGUGAAGAAGGUCUUCGGAUUGUAAAGCACUUUAAGUUGGGAGGAAGGGAAGUAAGUUAAUACCUUCCUGUUUUGACGUUACCAACAGAAUAAGCACCGGCUAACUUCGUG
rnacentral:rRNA from 1 species